UGGGGAAUAUUGGACAAUGGGUGAGAGCCUGAUCCAGCCAUGCCGCGUGCAGGAAGAAGGCGUUAUGCGUUGUAAACUGCUUUUGCCAGGGGAUAAAAAGACCGUGCGCGGUUAAUUGAAGGUACCUGGUGAAUAAGCCACGGCUAACUACGUGCCAGCAGCCGCGGUAAUACGUAGGGUGCAAGCGUUGUCCGGAUUUAUUGGGUUUAAAGGGUGCGUAGGUGGCCCUGUAAGUCAGUGGUGAAAUAUCUCAGCUUAACUGAGAGGGUGCCAUUGAUACUGCAGGGCUUGAGUACAGAUGAGGUAGGCGGAAUUGACGGUGUAGCGGUGAAAUGCAUAGAUAUCGUCAAGAACACCGAUAGCGAAGGCAGCUUACCAAGCUGUAACUGACACUGAGGCACGAAAGUGUGGGGAUCAAACAGGAUUAGAUACCCAUGUAGUCCCUGAGCGGGCUGGCAAGGCGCAU
rnacentral:rRNA from 1 species